rnacentral:rRNA from 1 species
GAUGAACGCUGGCGGCGUGCCUAAUACAUGCAAGUCGAGCGAACGGACGAGAAGCUUGCUUCUCUGAUGUUAGCGGCGGACGGGUGAGUAACACGUGGAUAACCUACCUAUAAGACUGGGAUAACUUCGGAAAACCGGAGCUAAUACCGGAGAAUAUUUUGAACCGCAGGGUUCAAAAGAGAAAGACGGUCUUGCUGCCACUUCUCGCUGGAUCCGCGCUGCAUUAGCUAGUUGGUAAGGUAACGGCUUACCAAGGCAACGAUGCAUAGCCGACCUGAGAGGCUGAUCGGCCACCCUGGAACGGGGCCACGGUCCAGACUCCUACGGGAGGCAGCAGUCGGGAAUCUUCCGCAAUGGGCGAAAGCCUUACGCAGCAGCGCCGCGUGAGUGAUGACGGUCUUCGGAUCGUAAAACUCUGUUAUUAGGUAAGAACAUAUGUGGAAGUAACUGUGCACAUCUUGACGGUACCUAAUCAGAAAGCCCCGGCUAACUACGUG